rnacentral:rRNA from 1 species
AUUGAACGCUGGCGGCAUGCCUUACACAUGCAAGUCGAACGGCAGCACGGGGCAACCUGGUGGCGAGUGGCGAACGGGUGAGUAAUGCAUCGGAACGUGCCAUUGAGUGGGGGAUAACGUAGCGAAAGUUGCGCUAAUACCGCAUAUUCUGUGAGCAGGAAAGCAGGGGACCGCAAGGCCUUGCGCUCUUUGAGCGGCCGAUGUCAGAUUAGCUAGUUGGUGAGGUAAAGGCUUACCAAGGCGACGAUCUGUAGCGGGUCUGAGAGGAUGAUCCGCCACACUGGAACUGAGACACGGUCCAGACUCCUACGGGAGGCGGCAGUGGGGAAUAUUGGGCAAUGGGGGAAACCCUGACCCAGCCAUGCCGCGUGAGUGAUGAAGGCCUUCGGUCGUAAAGCUCUGUGGGGAGGGAAAAGCGGAUGUCCCGUGAACAAUGGGGUGUUGUGAUGGUACCUCCUUAGCAAGCACCGGCUAACUCUAGU